CACAUUUCUAUCACUUGCUCUUCUUCCAUUAUUGGAACACACACAUUUCUUCUUUGCUUCAUUUCCGCCGGACUUAGCUCCGGCUGUUGUUCCGGUCGUGAAAACUCCAAUACUCUUCAGAUUGAGUCAAAUAUUUGUCCUCCACUUGUUUUACCGGACGCGAUUCUGAUUCUGAUUCCGAGUACGACUUCAGUUCCGGUUCCGUCUUCGAAACCCUCCCCUCUGUGUUUGUAAGCUAACUUUCGUCUUCCACUCUUUUCUCUCUUUAUUUCGUGGUUUCUGUGGUUACAGGUGAGUUUUAAAGGUUUGGAGACUGACGUAUUCGAAGUCGUCGGAGUUUGGGUUACGCUCACGGAAAACUUUGUUGAGAGUGAUGUUUAACUUUUUGGAUUUACAAAUUUAACUGAGAGUGACGUUUAACUCCUUAUUUACAAAUGUGAAUAGAGAGUGACAUGUAACAUUUUCUUUGCUAUAAAGAGAAAUACACAUUUUUUUCCCUCCUCCA